CCUACGGGGGGCAGCAGUGGGGAAUAUUGCACAAUGGGGGGAACCCUGAUGCAGCGACGCCGCGUGGGUGAAGGAGUAUUUCGGUAUGUAAAGCCCUAUCAGCAGGGAAGAACAAUGACGGUACCUGCCUAAGAAGCACCGGCUAAAUACGUGCCAGCAGCCGCGGUAAUACGUAUGGUGCAAGCGUUAUCCGGAUUUACUGGGUGGAAAGGGAGCGCAGGCGGCGCGUUAAGCCUGGUGUGAAAGCCCGCGGCCCAACCGCGGGACUGCAUUGGGAACUGGCGCGCUGGAGUGCCGGAGGGGUAGGCGGAAGUCCUAGUGUAGCGGUGAAAUGCGUAGAUAUUAGGAGGAACACCAGUGGCGAAGGCGGCCUACUGGACGGUGACUGACGCUGAGGCUCGAAAGCGUGGGGAGCAAACAGGAUUAGAUACCCGUGUAGUC
rnacentral:rRNA from 1 species